rnacentral:tRNA from 1 species
GAGGGUGUAGCUCAGUGGUAAAGCAUGAUCAAGGCCCUGGGUUCAAUUCCCAGCACUGGCC